rnacentral:lncRNA from 12 species
UUAUUGCUUCAUAAAAGCCACAACUGUAUGUGGGAUACCAGCAGUGUACAAAUGAGCCUCCUCCCUCACAUGCCUGCCCGCACUAGGUCUUGCCAUUUCCCCUUAUUUUAACUAGUUUCAUAGAUACAUAAUGAGCCUUUACACUUAUUUUACCAUUCAUUUCUUUCUGUGACAGUUGUGUAUGUGUGAUUAACAAAAUGCUAACACUCAGAAAAUCAACUGUCACUCUGCCAGCAAAUCAGAAAUCUCUGGUUGAAAGCCUAGAGUUUCAAUUCUGCCCUGGCACUUUCCCCAUUCUUAAAUCCACAAGGUAUUGUUAAUAGGAGUGCUACUUAAGGGAUUUAUGGGGACAAAUGGUGGAAGAUAAAGCAAACAAAUGAACAAAUAAGCAAAGAAGUAUUUCCUCUUUCAACCCAGGCCUCCUCAAAGUCACUGUGUUUGUUGAAGGCCAUCUAGUGGACCUAUGAGGGAAAAAUGCACAGUGAUGUGGGAGGGAGGCCAGCUGCCCAGGCACACACAGAUGCAGGGGUGGUUUGGGGGGGGGGGCAGGUCUUUCAGGAAAAUGCUGGCUCAGAGUCCUCUUUCCUCACAGGAGGAAGAGCAGUAGAUUUCCCCCAACUUCCAUCAGCUCCUAUGUACUAGUAUUUCACAUUUCUUGAGAAAAUGAUAGGUCAGCUUUUUCCUGAUAGAGGUGUAUGGGAACCAGAAGGGAGUGAAAAACAAUUGUUACAUCUACUAAACUGUGCAAAGUUGGAGACUCAGUUAAAGAAAUUAAUUUCUAGUGCAUGUGUGUGUGUGUGUGUGUGUGUGCUUGGUGUGUACACACACACACACACACAGUAGAGCCACUCAGUUUGUAAUCCAGAGCCUUGGCAUCCUGGAGGGGGUUAGAAGAUGCCCGAGGAAACCAGUUUCCUAGAAGAGUGGCAGUGAGUACUGUUGGGCGAGCUGCCCAGACCUUCUUUCUGAGUGAAAGACCAGAGAGGGGGCUGGUUAUUGUCACGUGGGAGGAACAUUCCACUUUCAGCAUUGCCUCAUUACUUCAUUUUCCAGUCACCAGUUAGGUCCUCAGCAUUCCUUAGAGACCUCAGUGCCACUGUCGUAAACAUAUGAUAAAUUCUCCAAGGAGAAAGGUUCUGCAAGGAGCAGGACAGUCUCCAGGAACAGAAGUAAUAGACAUUUUCUGUUUCACAGGCAAGAAGGAUGUAGAAACGGAGAGAGAAGUGGUCGGACCUCGGGGGAGCACAAAGGGAUGAAAAGCAAUGACUUGACUUCCCCUGCUAGGGAGUGACAGGUCUGACUGUGGCCCUUGGCUUCAGACCUCAGAUGAAGCUAGGCAUCCUCUAAUCCUUCUGCAGGCUGAGCCUGGCUAGAGACCAAAAUAACUGUCUCCCGCAUAUGAUAUGACUUUUUUCAAAUUUCUACAGACUGUUGAAAUUAAUGAAAUGCAAAUUUAUUUUGAAAGAUACAGAAUUCAUAGGAGCUUUUGAUUAGGUUGAAUCAAAGAAAAGGUACUACAAUUCCCAGCAUGUGUAAUUCCCAGCAUUACGUUUUUCUUUUUUUUUUUUUUUUCAUUACGUUUUUCUUUACCAUGGAAAGGAGUGCUCAGAAAACGUGAGGAUCGCAGGACUAGGUACGUGCGCUCUGACGUUGGCUACUAUCAGAUUGUGAUGGACACAUCACUUAAAACAAGGAGAACAUCAUGAAUGUUUUUAAGAUCUUAGCAAUCAACUUCAUCUGGUCACAAGACCUGAUGAAUACUGCUGUAAGGCAGCUAAGCAAGGAGUUUAGUGAGCUGAUUCAUUGCUCACGUGUACAAGCCUUAUAAUCAUGACUUCCAAAA